UAUUUUCUAUAGGCAAAUCCGUAGAGAAUGCUGAAGUCCAACAGUACCAGGAGGCUCCGGCCGAAUGGAUAGAGAAUGUAAGCAGACUUCCGAGAAAAUCUUCUAAGCAUAUUGAUACGGUACCCGUACCGCAAACCGACACAGGUAGUCAAGGAGAGAAUCCUGAGGUGCUCGAGUGAGUCAUGGCUAAGGAACUAGGCAAAUUAAACCUGUAACUUCGGGAAAAGGGUUGCCUCUCUUUAGCAAUAAAGAAGGUCGCAGAGAAAUGGCCCAGGCGACUGUUUAACGAAAACACAUGGCUAUCGAAAUCGUAAGAUGAAGUAUAUGGCCUGACACCUGCCCGGUGCUGGAAGGUUAAGGGGGGAAGUUAGUCGCAAGGCGAAGCUUUGAACUGAAGCCCCAGUAAACGGCGGCCGUAACUAUAACGGUCCUAAGGUAGCGAAAUUCCUUGUCGGGUAAGUUCCGACCUGCACGAAUGGUGUAACGAUCUGGGCACUGUCUCAGCCAUGAGCUCGGUGAAAUUGUAGUCACGGUGAAGAUGCCGUGUACCCGUCACGGGACGGAAAGACCCCAUGCACCUUUACUAUAGCUUCGCAUUGACAUUGGGUAGAUGAUGUGUAGGAUAGGUGGGAGGCGUUGAUCCUGUGCCGCUAGGUAUAGGGGAGCCAACGGUGAAAUACCACCCUUUAUUUAUCUGAUGUCUAAUCCGCAAGACCUGCGGAGACAGUGCGUGGUGGGUAGUUUGACUGGGGUAGUCGCCUCCGAAAGUGUAUCGGAGGCUUUCAAAGGUAUGCUCAAUACGCUUGGUAACCGUAUGUGGAGUGCAAUAGCAUAAGCAUGCUUGACUGUGAGACUGACAAGUCGAGCAGGGUUGAAAGACGGAUAUAGUGAUCCGGUGGUUCUGUAUGGAAGGGCCAUCGCUCAAAGGAUAAAAGGUACGCUGGGAUAACAGGCUGAUCUCCCCCAAGAGCUCACAUCGACGGGGAGGUUUGGCACCUCGAUGUCGGCUCGUCACAUCCUGGGGCUGGAGAAGGUCCCAAGGGUUAGGCUGUUCGCCUAUUAAAGUGGCACGCGAGCUGGGUUCAGAACGUCGUGAGACAGUUCGGUCCCUAUCUGUGAUGGGCGUAGGAAGUUUGAGAGGAUCUGACCUUAGUACGAGAGGACCGGGUUGGACCAACCGCUGGUGUACCGGUUGUGGCGUCAGCUGCAUCGCCGGGUAGCUACGUUGGGACGAGAUAAGCGCUGAAAGCAUCUAAGCGCGAAACUCACCUCAAGAUGAGACUUCCAUUAAGGGACGUCAGAGACUAUGACGCUGAUAGGCUGCAGGUGUAAAGGCAGAAAUGUCAAAGCUGAGCAGUACUAAUUACCCA
rnacentral:rRNA from 1 species